rnacentral:rRNA from 1 species
CCCCUUAGUGCUGCAGCUAACGCAUUAAGCACUCCGCCUGGGGAGUACGACCGCAAGGUUGAAACUCAAAGGAAUUGACGGGGACCCGCACAAGCGGUGGAGCAUGUGGUUUAAUUCGAUGCAACGCGAAGAACCUUACCUACACUUGACAUGCAGAGAACUUUCUAGAGAUAGAUUGGUGCCUUCGGGAACUCUGACACAGGUGCUGCAUGGCCGUCGUCAGCUCGUGUCGUGAGAUGUUGGGUUAAGUCCCGUAACGAGCGCAACCCCUAUCCCUAGUUGCUAGCAGUUCGGCUGAGAACUCUAGGGAGACUGCCGGUGACAAACCGGAGGAAGGUGGGGAUGACGUCAGGUCAUCAUGGCCCUUACGGCCAGGGCUACACACGUGCUACAAUGGUGCGCACAGAGGGCUGCAAACCCGCGAGGGGGAGCCAAUCUCUCAAAACGCA